GAUGAACGCUGGCGGCGUGCCUAAUACAUGCAAGUCGAACGAACGGACGAUAAGCUUGCGUCUCUGAUGUUAGCGGCGGACGGGUGAGUAACACGUGUAUAACCUACCUAUAAUACGGAGAUAUCUUCGAGAAACCGUAUCUAAUACCGGAGAAUAUUUUGAACCGCAGUGGGCAAUGGUGAAAUACGGUCUUGCGGGCAGUUAUCGAGGGUUCCCCGCUGCAUGAGCUAGUUGUUAAGUUAACGGCUUACCAAGGCAACGAUGCAUAGGCGAAGGGAGAGGGUGGUAGGCGACAUGGGAACUGAGCCACGGUCCAGACGACUAAGGGAGGCAGCAGUAGGGAAUGUUACGCAGUGGGCGAAAGCAUGACGGAGCAACGCGGCGUGAGAGAUGAAGGUGUUGGGAUCGGAAAACCCUGUUAUUAGGGAAGAACAUAUGUGUCAGUAACUGUGCCGAUAUUGACGGUACCUAAUCAGAAAGCACCGGCUAACUACGUG
rnacentral:rRNA from 1 species